CCAGACUCCUACGGGAGGCAGCAGUGGGGAAUAUUGGGCAAUGGGCGCAAGCCUGACCCAGCAACGCCGCGUGAAGGAAGAAGGCUUUCGGGUUGUAAACUUCUUUUGACAGGGAAGAGCAGAAGACGGUACCUGUCGAAUAAGCCACGGCUAACUACGUGCCAGCAGCCGCGGUAAUACGUAGGUGGCAAGCGUUGUCCGGAUUUACUGGGUGUAAAGGGCGUGUAGCCGGGCUUACAAGUCAGAUGUGAAAUCCGGGGGCUCAACCCCCGAACUGCAUUUGAAACUGUAGGUCUUGAGUACCGGAGAGGUCAUCGGAAUUCCUUGUGUAGCGGUGAAAUGCGUAGAUAUAAGGAAGAACACCAGUGGCGAAGGCGGCCUGCUGGACGACAACUGACGGUGAGGCGCGAAAGCGUGGGGAGCAAACAGGAUUAGAUACCCCCGUAAUG
rnacentral:rRNA from 1 species